AACUAUUGAAAUGGCUUAGAAGCCAUGUAGUCUUGUAAUUCAACAAUUAUUUUGAAUGAAAUGAUGCCUUCAAACUGUUAAAUUCUGAAUUCGGCUCUAACUACGUCAUACAACAUACUCUAGUUUGUAACUCUAAUUACUAUUGCCACCUUAUAGCCACUAGAUUGUAACCUUAUCAAUAACUUCUUCCAAUCUCUAUGGAAAGCUUAAAAAAAGAAUAAAAAAGGUUAGUAUAAAGUAUCAGCUGCUGUGGCUGAUCUUAGUACAAGAAAUGUGGGCAUAUA
rnacentral:lncRNA from 1 species